CCUACGGGAGGCAGCAGUGAGGAAUAUUGGUCAAUGGACGGAAGUCUGAACCAGCCAUGCCGCGUGCAGGAAGACGGCUCUAUGAGUUGUAAACUGCUUUUGUACAAGGGUAAACCUGAAUACGUGUAUUCAGCUGAAAGUACUGUACGAAUAAGGAUCGGCUAACUUCGUGCCAGCAGCCGCGGUAAUACGGAGGAUCCAAGCGUUAUCCGGAUUUAUUGGGUUUAAAGGGUGCGUAGGCGGAUUGAUAAGUUAGAGGUGAAAUGUCCGAGCUUAACUCGGGAACUGCCUCUAAUACUGUUGGUCUAGAGAGUAGAUGCGGUAGGCGGAAUGUAUGGUGUAGCGGUGAAAUGCUUAGAGAUCAUACAGAACACCGAUUGCGAAGGCAGCUUACCAAUCUAUAUCUGACGUUGAGGCACGAAAGCGUGGGGAGCAAACAGGAUUAGAUACCCGUGUAGUC
rnacentral:rRNA from 1 species